rnacentral:tRNA from 1 species
GGGAAUGUGGCUUAGUGGUAGAGUGCUUGCCUCGCAUGCAUGAGGCCUUGGCUUCCAUUCCUC